rnacentral:rRNA from 1 species
CAGUCGCCACGGUAAUACGAAGGGUGCAAGCGUUAAUCGGAAUUACUGGGCGUAAAGCGUGCGUAGGCGGUUUGUUAAGUCUGCUGUGAAAUCCCCGGGCUCAACCUGGGAAUGGCAGUGGAUACUGGCAAGCUAGAGUGUGUCAGAGGAUGGUGGAAUUCCCGGUGUAGCGGUGAAAUGCGUAGAGAUCGGGAGGAACAUCAGUGGCGAAGGCGGCCAUCUGGGACAACACUGACGCUGAGGCACGAAAGCGUGGGGAGCAAACAGGAUUAGAUACCCCGGUAGUCCCUGUCUCUUAUAC